UCCAGAGUGGAUGACCUGACAGAGAGAGGCAAAAGUCACAAUGUUUUUAUAACCUAGUCUUGGAAGUCACAUACCAUCAUUUCUGCCAUAUUCUAUUGACCACACAGACCGUUGCUGAUACACUGUGGCAGAGGACUGCACAAAUGCAGGAAUACCAGGAGUUUCUGGCAACCCGGAAGGGACAGCUGGGACAUCUCACUCCCUCUGGAGCCUGCAGAUGGGAUCUGGGGAAAACUAAUGAAAACCAAUAAAAGUUUUUGGCCAGGGCUGGGUUUGAACCUGCCACCUCCAGCAUAUGGGGCUGACGCCCUACUCCUUUGAGCCACAGUUGCCGCCAGAUACUUGAUUUUUAUGCUUGGUAGAGGUAAACCUUUUAAAAUUUCAUUUUCUACCCAUUCAUUGUUGGUACAUAGAAAUAGAAUUGAUUUUUGUAUAUUGGUUUUUUGGCCAGUUACCCUUAUAAACUCUUUCUUUAAUUCAAAUAGUUUAACUUUUGGAUUUUCUACAUAACAAAUCAUAUCAAAAGGAAGUUUUGCUCCUCCCUUCCCAAGCCUUCUAUCUUUUAAUCCUUUUCUUGCUUUAGUACAUAACUCAGGACCUAUGGUACAAUGGUGACUAGUAACAGAAUAGUGGACAUCCUUGCCUCUCAGUCUCAACACAACUCUAACUUGUUUUAGUUUCCUCUGAAGUAGACCCAGAGACAAGGAUCUGAGUAGAAGGAGUUUAUUGGGAGGUGAAAGAAAACACUGGCUGGGAAGUGGGGAGAUGAGACGAGGAUAGAAAAGCAGCCAGUGAAAUUGUGUGUCAUCAGGCUUAAUUCAAGAACUUAAUUCUGCUAGAGAGACUCUGGGAGUGGUGUGAAUUACACACCUCAGGGUUAUCUUGCACAGAUGUGACGGAGCUGGGGUAUCUAGACACAAAACUUACCAGCUAUUGGUUGGAGCUGCUCUGGCUAUGGAGCACGAAUUCCCUAGCACUUUGAACUGCCCCGUGAAUGGAAAACUGUAGUCAAGUAGCCAAAGAAAGCGCUCAGGCCAAGGAGUGCAGAUACUGGCGGUUAGAAGUAGGACCACGUACACUGAAGUAGUAAAGGGAUGCCAGUAGGGUAUUGACAGUGCCUUCCACAAACACCUUCAACAUUUUAUCAUUACAAAGAGCACUUGCAGUCCCCAGAGGAUAAUACAAGCUGUAUAAGUCCAUUUUUUUCUAUAUACCCUCAAAACUCAGUCAAUAGAGAAAGAAGGAAAAAGAAAUACACAUAAGCCUUACUUAACAGCAUCAUUAGGAGAAAGAGGAUACUAACAAUUCUGAUGUUAAAGUGCCCCCGUCUGGCCUCUGCUACUUUGCAAUCCUACUGUCACCAUUAACACCAGGGAGCUCAGUUCUGUAGCCGUGUUCCCUGUUGCCAACCCUGACAUACAAAGGACAGUCACCACUCAGUGAAGGUCUUGCUAAGUGCCAUACUGCAGCCCACAGAGUUUAUUACCACCACACGUAGCACUGAGCACUAAAUGGAUAAGAACGCUGGUACUUAGAGAACAAUUACAUAAAAUAGACAAAGUGCUAGCUAAGUUAAGGAAAAAAGAAUGAACAAAGAUGAGAAAAAAUAAGAAAUAUGACACACGGAUAGAGUGCUGUGGUGUCAUAGCUCGCAGUGACCUCCAACUCUUGGGCUCAAGUGAUCUUCUUGCCUCAAUUUUUCUAGUUUUAGUGGUGAUGGGGUCUCAAUUUUUGCUCAGGCUUGAACUCGUGAGCUCAAGCAAUCCACCUGCUUCAGCCUCCCAGAGUGCUAGGAUUACAGGUGUGACCCACCACACCCGGCCUGAACACGGGUUUUGAGAAAGGUUUCUCCAGACAAAGAUUAGGGUAGGGCCGGCGCAGUGGCUUAUGCCAGUAAUCCUAGCACUCUGGGAGGCUGAGGCGGGUGGAUUGCCUGAACCAGAGCGAGACCCCUUCUCUAAAAAUAGUGGAGUGUUGUGUCAGGCUC